CUCAGGAACUUAUUUGGAUGUCUGUAGGUGCAUGAGUUAUGGUGAAAGGUGGUGUUGGUUAGAAAGUCAGUAAAAUUCUAAGUGUUAGAGUUUUAAGAGUAGAGUGUUAGUCUCAGAUGUUGUCCUGGGUCUCUCUGCAUGUCCGAGUUGGAGUCUCCAACCUUCCAAUUCCUCUCUCUUCCUUUUCCUCCUUGCAUUCCCCUGUCUUCCAUUUGUCCUAACUUUUAAAGGGCCAGACUCUCUGUACAUCAUCAGUUGAUAACCCAAUAGAAGCACUAGAGGUGUGCUUACCUAGGGAUCGCAAUUUAGGUAUUUGGUCUAUAGAGGGCAGUCUUGUCCCACUAAACAUACCUAUCCAGGAAAGAGUUAACUUUUCCUGGUGGCUAUUUUGACGUCAUUUUGGCCUAUCUUGAUAGUGGCCAUAAUUUAAGUAUCCUUUCAGAUCAAAGGGUUUCUUUAAGUUUUGUCCAGACUAUGUGUCUGGCAAAUUCUGAGUUUUGACCCGUAACUUACAAUGGGACCUUAUACAUAUAGAAAGUAAAUUAAAUUAUUUAAUCUUCUCUGUCACCAAUGUCUGGGUUUAGAAUUGAUUAUAUUCCAUUAGCAUUUUAGACAGUCUAUCCAACCCCCGUUCUCCUUAUCACUUGGUUUGUAUAUACUAUGCAUUCCUUUAGCUCUGGCAAAGUGGUUAGUUUUACAUAUAGAAAUCUUGUGUCUUUUGUUAACUUGGAAAUAACAAAAUGGAGUCUGGUCUGUUCAGAGUGACUCAGAAUAUACACUUUUAAUUUCUAUCAUAGCACAAGAUGUCUGCCGAUAUAAAUACCCUGACAUGACCUACUGAAACAGAUUAAUACAAAUUCAAUGUACCAUAUGCUUUGUCUUGGUUAAGCAACUCAGUCAGUAACGAUAGAACUUGUGUUACAGGAGCAGAUAUGGUAUCCAAACAUAUUCCCAAGCACCGGCUAUUCCAAAUAUUCAAUGCAGUUUGGUAAGAACUAGGCAUGUGCAUGGGGAAAAUUUUCGGUUUGGUUCCGCAUUCAGAAAUUCGUGAUUUUGGCAAUUCGGCUCUUCAACACUUCGGAACUUCAGCACUUCGGCACUUCAACACUUUGGAAAUUCGGCACUUCGGAAAUUCGGGACUUCUAUUGCAGCCGCUUACUAGAUAACUCCCUAAUCCCGUGGGAAUUAGGGAGUUAUCUACCAAAAGGCUGAAAGACCUAAAUUGGUCUUUGUAGCGGAGAGCUGGUCUUUCACAGGUUAACUCCACUAAAGAUCCCGGUGAGGCUCAGGGACAAGUAAUAAAAUACCAUAGAAUAAUCACAGCAAGCAAGGUAAUCCACGAAUAUCCCCAUACAGAUCCCAAUGAAUGGACAACACACAGUAUCAGGAGCAGAACUGAACUUUUAAUCACACAACCUUCUUUUAAAGCUUUCUCCCAUGCAAGGGAGGGAUUCACAGUAAUUAUUACUGUAGCCAAUAGUGUAACAGUUACCUCCCACACAUCUCCUCCCCUCAGUGUGACACAUAAUUCCAUUAAACAUUGUGACGAGACCAAUCUCACCACAUUGCAUUGGAGAAGCCUGGUUGCUCGCCUGUUGCCUUUGGAUUAUGGCCCCAUGUUAAAAGACUUCUUUUCCCCUGCAGAAAAGGCUUAGUCAUGCCUUUCUGCCCGGCGGUCGGUAGAUUCAGUCUACCGAACUAACGCACGAAUGACUAAACCACCUGGGAGCAGGAGUGUGUCGGCAAUUAACCUCCCAGAAGCUGCGGUUAACCGCAGCUUAAUUGACGAAUUCUAGGUGGCCGCCAUUCGUAUACGGAACACGAGGUCGCGGCCAUUUUUAACACGCGAACGCACAGCGGUAUUCGACGCCCAACUCAUGGAACUUAAAACGGAUACAUUUUGGCGCGAUCACCGCUGAAGCCACCGACCUCCCUUCUUGUUCGGUAGAUGUGCAUGAACGGCCCUAUAUUCGGUAGUUGUACCCGAAUACACCAUACCCCAGAUAGGAAUCCUGUGGAGCUCAUUCGUAUGAAAACUGACUUUGUGAACACUCUGGCGCCACAGCGAUUGGACUGUGUGCAUAGGAUGUGAGCGCUAUUCGGUACUUUGGUACGCUCAGAUCCUAGCUAUCUGGGGACAUGUUGAAUGCCUGUAAAAUGUUGUAAAAUAUAACAGUUAUGUAUUUUUAUGUCUUUUUGUUAUUGUCAUCUAAAAUGGCGUUUAGGCUCUGUCCUGGGAGAUAAUUGAAUUACUUCACAAUUAUCUCCCUGAGCAGAGCAGAGGGUUCUGGGUAAGAAAAGGGGAAUGAAUAAGUGUGUAC
rnacentral:lncRNA from 1 species